rnacentral:rRNA from 1 species
CCUACGGGUGGCAGCAGUGAGGAAUAUUGGUCAAUGGACGAGAGUCUGAACCAGCCAAGUAGCGUGAAGGAUGACUGCCCUAUGGGUUGUAAACUUCUUUUAUAUGGGAAUAAAAUGUUCCACGUGUGGGAUUUUGUAUGUACCAUAUGAAUAAGGAUCGGCUAACUCCGUGCCAGCAGCCGCGGUAAUACGGAGGAUCCGAGCGUUAUCCGGAGUUAUUGGGUUUAAAGGGAGCGUAGGUGGAUUGUUAAGUCAGUUGUGAAAGUUUGCGGCUCAACCGUAGAAUUGCAGUUGAAACUGGCAGUCUUGAGUGCAGUAGAGGCAGGCGGAAUUCGUGGUGUAGCGGUGAAAUGCGUAGAUAUCACGAAGAACACCGAUGGCGAAGGCAGCCCACUGGGCUGCAACUGACACUGAGGCUCGAAAGUGUGGGUAGCAAACAGGAUUAGAUACCCGGGUAGUC